GAGGGAUUCACCCCCACUGUAUCCAGAGGGUUCAUCCCCCCAGAGGGGUUCACCCCCACUGCAUCCAGAGGGGUUCAUCCCCCCUGCAUCCAGAGGGGUUCCCCCCACCUUCCCUCAGCUGCGGUUAUUCGGGCUCGUCUCGGGUGGCCAGAGCUCAGGAGCUGUUUCAGGGAUUAAGAGAAAGAUGUUCAGUCCAGGUCAGAGCUGGUUUGUCAGGAAAGCACCUAGGAAGGCUUUUUGUUCGAGUGAGGCGGAUUUUGGGAUCUGAUAGGUGCAGCUUCCCCCUUGGCAGGAGCCCAUCUAGCCAUUGGCGGAUCUCUUGGCUUUUUGCCUUGACUGGGAAACGCCUGCAGCCCCCCCGACCUCAAGUGCAGCAGAGGGGUGGGGCUGGAGAAGGUGCCAGGACAAGCCCCCCACUCCAGUGGGUUUUGGGGAGGCUGUGUAUGUAUCUAUGCUUGCAAAGCUUCUGUAUUACCGCCUGUACUUUCUUCCAGAGUCAAAAUACAGCUGAACCCUUCCCAUGCUGUGUGCUGUCAUCAUUGCUCUCCAGGGGGAUUUGGGGGUGCUGGGCUGC
rnacentral:lncRNA from 1 species